GAUUUUACCGGAAGAAAAGCUGGAGCUAAGUUUCCGUUCUGAGCUAGAUACAGUUGUAAAUGUGGAUGCCUCAGGAGUUCUGCAGCCUACACAACAUGCUUUUGAUCAGCUGCUUCCUACAAUGUCAAGAUUGUGAAAAAACAUAUCAUCAGUAUAGGAAAUGGAAAGCAUUUCUGAAUGAGCAGUUGGAGUGUCCUUCCACUCACAGCGAAGAUGAAUAUAUGGUUGGAAGGGGAGAAAUGGAGGAUCUGUUUAUUUUGUUAACAAGUCCAGCCAUGUCCUGUUUAGUAAAACACUGUACUUAUUAAAACUGAAAAUGGAGUUAAUAUGUUCGAAGAUCAACGAGAUAACUACUUGUUCUCUAACUUACUGAAGCCCGGAAUGGUGGUUGAUGUGCUGCUAUUUCAAAGAUACAGCAACCUGAGGAAAUAUCAGAACUCAAGCUUUUUCUAAGAACGUCUAAAUCCAGCCAGGUGAUCUUUUGGAAAGUUGGGGUGGGCACCUACCUAAAGACCAUAUGUCCGAUUUAUAGCCAUAGGGUAUGUCUGCUAGAAUUUCCGGGCACAUGUAAUUAGGAGUUCCCACAACCUAAAUAUAACACACGAUUUGAACACCGUGAGUGCGUAGUUUCCUCAGUGACACUUGUCAAGGAAUGAGAAGAAAGAUGGAUACCGAUGAAGCAAGAUCAUCUUGAUGGAGCGGUUUUGCUAGUCCAAAAUCACCUGAAAAUGUCUCGUAUCAGGCACAGGAAAAUGUUAGAGCACUGGAUCCAAUAUAAGGAAGGAAUCAGUGCAAGGAAUCUAUAUAGCUCAUUGGUUUACAUUCGCCGAAGAAAUUAAUGUACCUUCAGAUCUCUGUGAAGGAUGCGGUUUGAAUGCAGGUAAUCUAAUGCUAAAAGCAGCUGAGUCAGCCAUCUGCAAAUCUUCUGUAGAAACAAAAGGCUCAGAAACUUGUCACGAGACACAUAUAUGAGUCCUGAUUCAGUAGGAUGCACCCAUGAGUAUCAUAUGUGAACAAAUCAAGUAAGGCCUAUAGUAGAAACAGACUUUCAUUUACCCUCUCUACCCAUCCAUCUUUGUACUUGACGAUGUACGGAUUGUUCAGCUUCUCCAUCAAAGCCAUCUGCAAGAUUCGCUCGAUAUUCUUAUUUUACAUGCUUCAAUACUAAAAAAUGGAACAUAUCAAAUUUCUGUUUAGUAGAAUUAGUUGAAUUCAAUUCCUAUAUAGGUAUUAAUAGUAUUUGAAGAACAUCAUUAUUUAUUUAGCCACACUUACUUAUUGAAGCCUAUCAUUCCCUGCACAAAUUUAAAUGUGAAAGUCUAGUUAGGUUGCAAUUAUUUUCUACUUUCUGCUCUUGCAAUUUAUUCGAUUGCUGUUCUCUUUUGUGACAGGUGGUAGGUGAAUUCUCAUUGAAAGAGGCAAGGAGAGGUUGGUGAGAACACCAUAACCUUAAUUCUUUGCCAUUAUUAUGAAUGAUUCUUCUAUACCUAUGGUCCCUAUUUCUCUUUGCCUUAUUAAACUAUGAUUAAAGUUGCAUCUUAGGUCUGCCUAACCAGAAUAAUUCUCUUUCUUUAAUGGAGUAGUAAUCAUCUUGAUCUACAGAUACAAGUAGGAAGAAAAUGAAAAAUAAAAAUUAUAGCAGUAAUAAUUUUGCACAAUUUACAGAAUAGUGAGUCACCUCCCGAUGCGCCGUUUGCUUAAAACUUUCAGUUUGCUUAGCUAGAUGAAUCUUCUUCAUAACAUACCUACAGAUGAUUAAGUAGAAAACAUGAAGGGGUGAUGUGAUUAUUACAACAGGAUCAUGAUCAUGUAAUGAAAAAUGUGAAAUCUUUUUUUUU